GGGAGGGAAAACGGAGCCGCACGCGGGUGGCAACGCGGAGCCAGAGGGCACUCUGGGCAGCGCUGGGCGCCCGCAGAGUGGACCAGGGCUGGUGGAGCGCACAGGAUCACAGCGUCCCGGCCACCCUCGGUCAGAGGGUCCUGUAUCCAGCGAGCAAACGGGAGCCCCGGAGCCUCGCGGAGAGGCAGCUCUGGGCUUUCCCAGGUCUAAAGUCAAUACUUAGGCCCCAGAUGUGUCCAGAGACAUCCUGAAGAGGCUAGGGGGUUGAGGAGCCUUAGGGUGUCCACAAAGAAAGCCUGAAACUGACUGAGAGCCAGCGGAUUUGUCAGCUGUCUGGUGAGUCUGGUCUCUCCUCUCAUUGGAAUAAUAUCAUCCAAGAUAAGCGGUUUAGGCAUAGGAGUAAUAGACAAAGUACGGCUUUCAGCCAACCAUGUAUAGAAAAAGAUUCUUCUCAUUGGAGUUAUAUCCAAGAUAUCGGUUUAGGCAUAGAGGAAACAGACAAAGCAAGGCUUUCAGCCAAACUUAUACAGAAAAAGAAUCUUUUAGGUGCUGCUAAGAAACCAAGAACAUGAUUUCCCUGGAUGAAAUUAGAGAACCAUCUGUGGCAGUGGUUGAACUGUGAUGGAGAAUAAGCUCCUGGGAACAAGAAAGUCAGAAAUUCAUGAGCAGGAAAGAAAAAGGGAAGAAAAACUAAUAUUUGAUGAACAACUGAAUUCCUCACUGCACGUUGCCCUGGGCCACAGGGAACUGUCUCACCAAGGUUAUAGCCCCUCCUGGGGGCAGCUCACAACCAUUAAAGGACUGAUGCAGGGAUCCAAAGGACUGAUUUCAUCACCAAUUUGCAGCAACUCUGAGGGGCUCCAGAAUUCCCCAAAGGAUCAGCUGAGACUUCAGUGGCAACCACAUUGUGAGUUAGCUUCUUCCCCUGCCAACCCCUGCUUUCUCACUUCCUAUUUCCCAAGAGUACUUCCCCCAAAAACCUUCUGCAUGCAAUUCUCCAUCUCAGUCUGUUUCCAAGAGAAGCAAUCCCUUCCUCAAGAACUGUGCCUUAACAUGGAGUCUAUUCCAAACUCAGUGCCAGUAAUGAUACAGCAAUGGAUGAUAGAAUGUAAAUGAAGGCAGUUAGUGGUUCUAGCAAACCAAAAAGAAAGCAAGGCAGUGAGAGACCAGCUAUGCAGAAAACAGCCAGCUGUAUUCAUUGAAUAAGAAGAACUAGCCACUAGAGGGCCCAGCACUACAGGUCUACCGCUCUGCUGCUACUUGAGAGCACAGAAUUUUGCCCUUGAUCUGGCAGACAUCCAGCAUAAUUGUCUACACCAGAGGGAGCAGUGUUGGCCAUUGCUUCCUUCUCUUUUACCUAUUGCGGAGUCACCAGUGUCCUAGCCUGUUCUGAUACCCUAGCAUCAAGCCCCCAUGCCAUGACAUAUGAGCUUAUUCCCAUAAAUCAAGGCUUCCAAAGCCUGUUUUUUUCCACCCACUGUUCUCAUUGUUCCAAGGGAGUCUGAAGAUGUGAAAUGUGAAAUUCCAAAUAAUUGGUCAUGACCAUCAUCACCUAGGAAUGGAGAGAAUCAGCAACAUAUUGUCUAGAACUGCCACUUUCUCCACACCUCCAUCCCCUCACCUACCAAAUUUGUAAUAAAGACACAUAGACUUAGACACAAAAUAUGUAGCCAAGGGAGAAAGGGGACAUGAGAGCCUUCACAGAAGAUGAAAAAGUUUGAGAACAUUGUGUAAUUGAGUGAAUUAUUUCUAUUGUGGAUUUAUUUAAAGACUUAAAGGAAAUUUUCUUUUGCACUCUAUUUGGAAGGACAGUCCUUUGUAUGUUGGGGACUUCCAUUACCUCAGGAGGAAAAUAUUGGGAGGCCUCUGUUUCCAAAGUAUAAAUUCCUCAAGGGUCAGAGUUAGAUUGUCUGGGAGAGGGAAAGCUCUGAGGAUUUAAGGGACAAGAGCUGAAUUCUACAAGACCAGGAGGAUGGAGGGUUGGUGCAGGCCAGCCCGUGAACUCUCUUCCAUUGCCCUCCUAGUAACUCUAGUAGUGAUGGCUACAAAGAUAUCUGGGGGAUAAUUACCAAACCAUAGCUUUGGGACCAUACAUGAGUUCUUGGUGGCCAGGUUUACAAUGGAAGGAGUAAAUAUCUUGCGCAAGUGGGCCAGAUACAUCUAGAUGCUCCACAUCUGCUUGGACAACGAGCAUCUUCACAACAACUGCAAUGGACUGAGAUGGUCUCCCAGGUUUUCUAGAUUGGGGAAGCCCUGGGGGUUUUGCAUCCCCACAAAGUCUCUGAAAUUAGAUGUUCCACAAACCUGGCAGGUGGAGGUGAAGCUACAUUUAAUUGGAUUUGAAUUAGACAGAUAAAAAUUUGAUUUGAUUCAGAAAAAUGAAAUACAAUGUUUUCAUACUUGCUAUUAAGCAAAUCAAAUGGGCUAGAAUACUGAGAGCUCUGAUAUCACAAUAGCAAACCUAGCCUGGCCCGGUUGAUAGAAGAAUAGUAAUACACUACCGAGGGGUUGCCAUGUGUUAGGCAGUACAUUCUUUCAUUUAAUCUCCACAAUAUACCUAUGAGGUAGACUAAGACAGAGAAGUGGCUUGCCCAAGGUCACAUGGUUAGUAAAUGGCAGAUUAAGUUUGUUGGACUCCAUGUCUAACUUCUAUGGCCAUUCAGUCCCUGUCGUCUAGCCAUUCAUUUACUGACAUCUAAUUUAUCAUUCACUAAUCCGUUUGGCCAGAUAUGCACUCAGUCGGUGAAUAGGAUUAAUAGUCAGUCUGUUUCUUAAACAGUGAGACAGAUCUAGUUGUAGUUUAAAGAACAAAAGAAUUUUAGAAUCAUAGACUAUUUGCACUGGUAGCUGGUCUAGUAGGAAGAGCAAAAGCUUUAGAACCAAAUGAACUUGACUGGAUUCUUGGCUCUGCUAUUCAUUCUCUAUGUGACCUUGAGCAAUUUAUUUAACCUCUCUGAUUCUCAGUUUUCAUAUCUGUAUAUCACAAAUAAUAAUAUAUGUACAUUCUCACUAGACUAAUAUGAAUAGUAGAGAUAAUGUCACAUGGAACCAAUACAAAAAUGCAAGUCCAAGUACGAAAUGAAAAACCUGGCACCUCGUUCAAAAAUUACCAUGAAUUUAAAGAUGGUGACAGCAGAGUAUUAAACCAAGUGUAGGGGCCCUUCUAAGCAGAGGCCCUGAUGGUUCAUCCACAGCCCAGCACAGAGUGAGUCUGCAAUAAAUUGUAGUCCCUUUUCUCUCUAGAUCACUGAUUAUAACCCUCUCCUUUUGCAGGUGAGGAAACUAAAGUUCACAGAAGAGUUUAAAAAUGCAAAUUAGAGCCAG